rnacentral:rRNA from 1 species
UACGUAGGGUGCGAGCGUUGUCCGGAAUUAUUGGGCGUAAAGAGCUCGUAGGCGGUUUGUCGCGUCGGCCGUGAAAACUUGGGGCUUAACUCCAAGCUUGCGGUCGAUACGGGCAGACUUGAGUUCGGCAGGGGAGACUGGAAUUCCUGGUGUAGCGGUGAAAUGCGCAGGUAUCAGGAGGAACACCGGUGGCGAAGGCGGGUCUCUGGGCCGAUACUGACGCUGAGGAGCGAAAGCGUGGGGAGCGAACAGG